rnacentral:lncRNA from 1 species
AAUAGAAUGAGGCUCGCUCAGUUUAUGUUGGCAAGGAAAGCCUCGGAAGGUAAAGGACCCCGCUAGAAAGAACACUGACAUUGGGCAGAGCUGCAGAAGAUUUAAUUAAAUAACCUUACGCCAGUAACAGUGUAAGACUUAACUCAACUUCUCUCUUUCUCUGCCAUUUUUUUAUUACUAAGAAAAUCUCAGGUAAGAAAAACCUCCACGAGUGCGUUUGGAUGACAUUGAGCGGUAACUUUAUAUUGAUUGAUUGCCAAUUUAAAUAAUGAUGGAGUAGUGAAUUGUAGAAUGGGUAUGGAUGCAAACUAACCAAGCUUGGGUGAGCUUGAUGAUAAGCUCGAAUUGGACAAGCCUGGACUAGGUUUGUUUUGUUUCUGAUAGGCUUGUCCCAAGUUCUAUCUUGCUUGACUUGAAUUAUGCU